UGGGGAAUUUUCCGCAAUGGGCGAAAGCCUGACGGAGCAAUACCGCGUGAGGGAGGAAGGCUUUUGGGUUGUAAACCUCUUUUCUUAGGGAAGAAGAACUGACGGUACCUAAGGAAUCAGCAUCGGCUAACUCCGUGCCAGCAGCCGCGGUAAUACGUAGGGUCCGAGCGUUGUCCGGAGUUACUGGGCGUAAAGCGCGCGCAGGCGGUGGCGUGUGCCCGGCGUGAAAGCCCCCGGCUCAACCGGGGAAGGUCGUCGGAGACUGCGUCACUUGAGGGCGGUAGGGGCUGGUGGAAUGCCCGGUGUAGUGGUGAAAUGCGUAGAGAUCGGGCAGAACACCCGUGGCGAAGGCGGCCAGCUGGGCCGUUCCUGACGCUGAGGCGCGAAGGCGUGGGUAGCGAACGGGAUUAGAUACCCCCGUAGUCC
rnacentral:rRNA from 1 species